CCUACGGGAGGCAGCAGUAGGGAAUAUUGCUCAAUGGGGGAAACCCUGAAGCAGCAACGCCGCGUGGAGGAUGAAGGUUUUCGGAUUGUAAACUCCUUUUGUUAGAGAAGAUAAUGACGGUAUCUAACGAAUAAGCACCGGCUAACUCCGUGCCAGCAGCCGCGGUAAUACGGGGGGUGCAAGCGUUACUCGGAAUUACUGGGCGUAAAGAGCGCGUAGGCGGGAUAGCAAGUCAGAUGUGAAAUCCUAUGGCUUAACCCUAGAACUGCAUUUGAAACUGUUAUUCUAGAGUAUGGGAGAGGUAGGUGGAAUUCUUGGUGUAGGGGUAAAAUGCGUAGAGAUCAAGAAGAAUACUCAUUGCGAAGGCGACCUGCUAGAACAUAACUGACGCUGAGGCGCGAAAGCGUGGGGAGCAAACAGGAUUAGAUACCCCUGUAGUC
rnacentral:rRNA from 1 species